GUGCCAGCAGCCGCGGUAAUACGUAGGUGGCAAGCGUUAUCCGGAAUUAUUGGGCGUAAAGCGCGCGUAGGCGGUUUUUUAAGUCUGAUGUGAAAGCCCACGGCUCAACCGUGGAGGGUCAUUGGAAACUGGAAAACUUGAGUGCAGAAGAGGAAAGUGGAAUUCCAUGUGUAGCGGUGAAAUGCGCAGAGAUAUGGAGGAACACCAGUGGCGAAGGCGACUUUCUGGUCUGUAACUGACGCUGAUGUGCGAAAGCGUGGGGAUCAAACAGGAUUAGAUANCCUGGUAGUNCAGGGCG
rnacentral:rRNA from 1 species